rnacentral:sRNA from 1 species
UUAUUAAUUCAUCUAAAUUUUGUGCGGU